GACGAACGCUGGCGGCGUGCCUAAUACAUGCAAGUAGAACGCUGAAGGAGGAGCUUGCUUCUCUGGAUGAGUUGCGAACGGGUGAGUAACGCGUAGGUAACCUGCCUGGUAGCGGGGGAUAACUAUUGGAAACGAUAGCUAAUACCGCAUAAGAGUAGAUGUUGCAUGACAUUUGCUUAAAAGGUGCAAUUGCAUCACUACCAGAUGGACCUGCGUUGUAUUAGCUAGUUGGUGGGGUAACGGCUCACCAAGGCGACGAUACAUAGCCGACCUGAGAGGGUGGAUCGGCCACCUGGGACUGGGACACCGGCCCGACCUCCUAGGGAAGCAGCAGUAGGGGAACUUCGGCAAAGGACGGAAGUCUGACCGGGCAAAGCCGCGUGAGUGAAGAAGGGUUUCGGGUCGUAAAACUCUGUUGUAAGAGAAGAACGAGUGUGAGAGUGGAAAGUUCACACUGUGACGGUAUCUUACCAGAAAGGGAAGGCUAACUACGUG
rnacentral:rRNA from 1 species